rnacentral:sRNA from 1 species
GUCUAGCCCCGAUGGGAGCAGCAUCCUUGCUGUGCGGGGUUCGCACAGCAAGAUAUAGCGUACAGCGGGACGACUC